GUAGCUCAGUUGGUUAGAGCGUCGUGCUAAUAACGCGAAUGUCGUGGGUUCGAUCCCCAUC
rnacentral:tRNA from 1 species